UAGGGAAUAUUGCAAAAUGGGCGAAAGCCCGAUGCAGCAACGCCGCGUGGGCGAUGAAGGCCUUCGGCUCGUAAAGCCCUUUUUGAGGGGAUGAGGAAGGACAGUACCCUCAGAAUAAGCCUCGGCUAACUACGUGCCAGCAGCCGCGGUAAAACGUAGGAGGCGAGCGUUAUCCGGAUUUACUGGGCGUAAAGCGCGUGCAGGCGGAUUGGAGAGUUGGAUGUGAAAGCUCCCGGCUUAACUGGGAGAGGUCGUUCAAUACUUCCAGUCUUGAGUGCAGUAGAGGGAAGUGGAAUUCCGGGUGUCGUGGUGAAAUGCGUAGAUAUCCGGAGGAACACCAGUGGCGAAAGCGGCUUCCUGGACUGUAACUGACGCUCAGACGCGAAAGCUAGGGUAGCAAACG
rnacentral:rRNA from 1 species